rnacentral:rRNA from 1 species
GAUGAACGCUAGCUACAGGCUUAACACAUGCAAGUCGAGGGGAAACGACAUCGAAAGCUUGCUUUUGAUGGGCGUCGACCGGCGCACGGGUGAGUAACGCGCAUCCAACCUGCCCAUCACUUGGGAAUAACCUUGCGAAAGUAAGACUAAUACCCAAUGAUAUCCCACGAAGGCAUCGGAAUGGGAUUAAAGAUUUAUCGGUUAUGGAUGGGGAUGCGUCUGAUUAGCUUGUUGGCGGGGUAACGGCCAACCAAGGCAACGAUCAGUAGGGGUUCUGAGAGGAAGGCACCCCACAUUGGAACUGAGCCACGGUCCAAACUCCUACGGGAGGCAGCAGUGAGGAAUAUUGGUCAAUGGGCGAGAGCCUGAACCAGCCAAGUAGCGUGCAGGAAGACGGCCCUAUGGGUUGUAAACUGCUUUUAUAAGGGAAUAAAGUGGGUCACGUGUGACUUUUUGCAUGUACCUUAUGAAUAAGGACCGGCUAAUUCCGUG